CGAGUCCCGUGAAGAGUCACGUUUCGGAGAAAUACCGAUUAAGUGGCGGUGGCCGCAGAAGGAGGCUUGAGGCAUCCAUGGCUUCCCACGGUGGUUUCUGAUGUCGAAGGCUUUGGAUGAAACGAUAUCGGCUUACUUUGCGUGAACGAAUCAUGAUAGAUACAGUGUGCCUUGGGCAAGAAUUGGAACCUGCAGUUGUAUUUGAGGUGAUUGGGGAGCCGGCUAUUGUAAUUGAUGGUGUGCCACCUAUGCUUCCUGUUUCUUCUGUACCUGUUCAUAAGGACAUAACUGGUGUUGGAUCAAUAAAUGACCCAUGCUUUGGUGAGUGGUUAGAGGGAAGGAAAGUUCGGAAGUUGUUUGGAGACCAGUAUUACUCUGGAACAGUGGUCAAGUUUGACACUGAAGUAAAUUGGUAUAAAGUGAUUUAUGAAGAUGGUGAUUCUGAAGAUCUCGAGUGGCAUGAACUAGAGGAAGUGUUAUUACCACUUGAUAUCUCUGUUCCAUUAACAACCUUGGCUUUGCAAAUGUGCAAGUUAAAGCAAUCUGCUUCUACAUCAGGAAUAAAUUUACCCAGAACAAGGAAAGGAUACACAAAGAAGGGCAGGAAGAAAGAAGACUAGAGCUGCUUCAAAUAUCCGAAACAAGUGACAUGGAUAGAAAAAUAGUUUUAAGCAGCACAAGGAAAUGUGAAUGCAGUUUGAAGGCAAAAGGUACUUAAAAGAUUAAAAAAAUAGGAAGUGGAUAUUCAAAUAUGUUACUCCGAGAACUGUUUGUCUGAGACAGGAAAGGUUGCAGCUUGGUCAAAUUUAUCAGAAUAUGAAACCUUGGUUUAAUUUGAUGGAGCUGCUUCUGGCCCAUUGAAUUUAGAUAGAAAGGUGAAAGACUACUCACUGAUAUCACUGCUGAAGAAUUUUGCUAAGAGGCAAAAGAUUUGGAAUUAGAACAUUAGAAACUGUAUUGAAGAAGGUGAAUUAUUUUUACUUAAAACUACCAUAUGGAGUUUAAGCAAUUGAUCCAAAUAAAUUUUGAUUAUUGUUAGAAAGCAAUGGAGAGCAGGAAAUCAUGUUUGAUUCUCAAUAUUUAUUUGAUUCUACUUCAUGUAUAAAUACUUAGUGCAGCUUCAACAACGGAAAUUCAGUUUAUGGAUUCUUCUUUCAAAGUAUCAGAUGACCUCUUGCUGUUUUUUCUUUUUGUUUUAAUUUUACACAAGUCUAUAUUUCCAAUGACCCUGCUAGAAGUUCUCUUUGUGGAAAUCAAAGCGAGUAGUGGUAUCAUUGCUGAAUUCCUGGGAAAGGUUCCAUAGUUGUUGUGUGAGCUUCGCAGAUCCACAGUAGAAAACACCUGCAGUUCCACAUAUUUAGAAGUUAGAGUAAUACAAAUUGCACAGUUCAAUUGAAUAUAGCUAACCUAUUUGAGAGGCCUUGUGUGCGCUUGCCAAGUCAGAAAAUACUUUCCUCCAGUUUGGCCUUGCAAAGUGUCUUUAUCUGUCAUGUAUUAGCCAGAAAGGAGCAAACAUUUUUCUUUUCUUUGAGAUUAUGAAAAGUUUAUGAUAAAGGGUAAUUACCCGACUUCCAGAGACAAUAUCAAGACCACUUUUGGCAUGUUGAAGUGACUGAACCAUCGGCAUAAGAGUGGACUGAACAUCACCUUCUUCAUACACACUUGUCAAGUAGUCGUGCAUUUCUAUGACAUUCUGAAAAGUAGAAUAAUGUAUUUGUCAGAUUUUUCUUUUUUGGAAUAUUCAAUGAGUAUGAAGGAAGCAAUGGUUUUUUAGGAGAUACAUUGUGGUCACUUUCUGCAACUUCAUCCAUGACACUUAUGAACCAUUCAAAGGAGCCUUGUUCCCUGGUCACCCAAUAGAAAUUUUUCAAUAUGAAGUUAUUAUGUUGGGACUGUGUAUUAUUCAAAAGAUCCCUCAAUAUGCUGAUAAAUGGAGUUGCACCAAUUCCCAGUCCAAUAAGCAAAAGAAUAUCGUAUUUCUUGUAAUCUUGAGCAGGUGCACCAUAUGGCCCAUCAAUGAAAAGCUUUGGAAAUAAGCAAAAAGGGAAUUAUUUUUCUCUGAAGCUUGACACAUUUGAGACAUCAGAUAGAGAUAAUUGAGGUGUGCCACUUGGACAUAUAAGAUUCUUUAUUACCUAGUAUCUUGAUGCUCAACAUCUGCAAUUACUGUGGUCUCAAGUCUAACUAGAUUAGCCUUCUUGGAUUUAACUUGAGCCUCGCAGGCCUGUUUUGAAGAAUGCUCAUAUAUCAUUUUGAAAUGUGAUUAUAGUUUCUUGCAAAGAAAGUGAAAGUUUAUCAGAACCCUAAAAGAACCUUUCCAAAUAAGUUCCUGAGUGCAGUGGUCCAGUCUCCCUAGGAUCGAAUAUGAACACUCAAAUAGCCAUCUCCUGGUGUGGAUGUGAUUGAGAAGGGAUGCCUGUCACACAAUCAAAUUUAAAAGAUGAAUAAAGGAAUGUCGGUAAUAUUUCCUGUGAAGCUUGUGACAUACCAUUCAAAAGGUGUGACAUCUGGAUACUUGAUGAAUAGGUACAUUCCACUUUUACACUUGAAUCCUGGUGGCUUUUUCACAUGUAUUGAGAGGACGUUGCCUGGAUAUAUGGCUGCCUGCGUAGCACAUUGGAAAACAAGAGGAAAAUAUCCUUGAUUUGACUCAGAUAUUCUUCCACUGCUCUUUAAAUAUUGAUAAGAGUAGUCUUACCUUAAUGAUGGCCACACGAUAGCUUUUCUCAUGAAGUUUUCUGAUUAAUCCCUCACAGGCAUAAAAAAGGACAGGAAUUGUGAGGUACAUCCAUGUCUGUGAAAUAAGGAGUCAUUGUCAAGACAAUAAUAUCUGUGUGUUGUACAUGUUUUGAGAUCACCAUUUCCUGAAGAGAAAGCAUAACAUACCGUCUUCUUGUACCACUUCUUGGUGAGAAAAAUGAAAUAGGAAUGAACUACUAGGAGAGCAUAUACCAGUGCCAGGAGGUGGUGGGCGUACCAAAAUGCAUUAAAGCCAGCUAAGUGGUGGAGGGGUGAUGGCAACUUCACAACACUUCUUCUGAAGGAAUGCGUUGCUAGUGUGAAAGAAAAUGUCAUAAUAAAAAUCAUGAGGGUGCCAGUGACUCCAGGAGCACUGGCUAGUAUAGAUGGAUAUGUGGGCUGCUUGUAGUUGAAGUUUAGCCCCAUUGUAGUCAUUAACAUACCGUCUUCUUGUACCACUUCUUGGUGAGAAAAAUGACAUAGGAAUGAACUACUAGGAGAGCAUAUACCAGUGCCAGGAGGUGGCGGGCAUACCAAAAUGCAUUAAAGCCAGCUAAGUGGUGGAGGGGUGAUGGCAACUUCACAACACUUCUUCUGAAGGAAUGCGUUGCUAGUGUGAAAGAAAAUGUCAUAAUAAAAAUCAUGAGGGUGCCAGUGACUCCAGGAGCACUGGCUAGUAGAGAUGGAUAUGUGGGCUGCUUGUAGUUGAAGUUUAGCCCCAUUGUAGUCAUGAACUUAGAUUUUGGACAUGUUAUUAUUCUUGGGAAAUCACAUGUUACAUGAGCAAGAGUAUGCACUACUGUCCCAAUAGCUAUUGCCGAUGCAAUGAUCUGUAUUUUAAUUUAUGGUAAGUCAAGAAUAUGGUCUAUUAUGAAAGAGUUCAGUUUAUCGUGUGGCAGAAAUCCUAUAAUUACCUUGUGGAAGUUGAUGUUGUCAUCAAUGGGAAUAUUGAAUUAAGAGCAGUUAAUCUAAGUCUUGUAAGCAUAUUUCUGCCAACAGUGAUGAGAAUCAGAGCCAUCUUCAACUUCAGGGUUUCAGCUGCAGCCUUGGCUAUGCAGACACAAUAGCCCAUUACUUGAAAAGCUGACCUCCUUCUGUACUGCUCAAAUUUCCACGCAUCUAGAGCUGUAUUCUGCAUCAUCCAUAGUGAAAGAACCCAUUUUCUCUUCCAAUUUUCAUGAAUAAAAUCUGCAGUCUUUCUGACAGGUCUGUUGGUCCGGUGUCUAUACAGCCUUGUUGUCAUUUGAUUUUCCAAGCCCAUGUGACCUUCUGAGUGUUCUCUCAGAUCCUUGUGAGUUAACCAGGCCUCGAACCAAAGUCUCAAGUUGUGCAAUCUGAAGUAGAAGAUUAUAAGUGGUGUUUCUCUGCUUUCCAAUGUUAUCCUUUUCUGAUACUUAAAUGUGAACUGGAAGGACAUCAUAUUACCUCGAUGUAACCAAGAUUAUCGGGGUCAAGCUCCUUCAUGACAAGAGCUGCAUAGGAAAUUUAUAGUCUAUAUGCCCAAAAGAGAAUUCGUCAUGAUGGAUAUCUGUUCUUAAGAAAUAACAAAGAAAAGCAACAUGCAGGCAGGGUAAAGCAAGAGUAGCUUGCCUAUACAAGGUCCAAAGUUCUCCUUCUGAAGCCUGCCAUUCGUUGCAGAUUUGUCAAACUGCUUCUCAAAUGGUGUUCCAUCCUCCUUCCCCUGCCAAACUCUUAUCAAGGAAGCGAAACCCUUUAUGAGGGCUGGAAACAAUCCCGCUCAUCUUACUAUGAGGAUGCUUCUCCAUGUCACACUGCAAAGCAAGCCCUGCACCUUGACCAUGAUAUUUGGUGUCUGGAACAAUGGGUUGCCCUUGAAACUCAGUUGAUGAUUCAGCCUUUGGUUGUGCAACAUUGGUACCAGCUAUAUGCAGCUGUCUGGGAGCUGAUUGGUCUAGUUUGCCAUGAACAAGGCAGUCUCCAGCUCGUGCAUCGAAGUAUCAAUCUCUGAAAUAUCCACAAUAUGAUGUGGUGAUCCCAUUCCAUGGGUAAAGGUUGCCUGAAUCAAUGUUUUCUUUUGCCUCUCUAUUGGAAAGAUGCAGUAUGGGCGUGUGUGGAGAAUAGAUAGAGAGAAGUGUGGGUGUGUAGAAAUUAUAGCUGACAAAAGAGGAAGGCUUGCCCCAUAUGAAGUGGAGAAAUAUUUCAAGUACCUUAAUGGCCUUCCUUUUUCCUUGUGUUUUUCUGAUGAGGACACCAAGUGGAGAAUACCCAACCAUAAUUCCUCUGUUUAUGAUGUGAUGGUGGAUUCAUUCGAAUGAGGCUAUGCUGGGUUUGGAACUUAAUAUCUCUAGGCUUAUAUCCAUAUUGUAAAUUAUGUUGUUGAGGUUUUGCUGUCCAAUACAAUUGUGUUCUUUUGGGUUUUCAUGAGAGAGGACAAGUGGUUUCUGUGCCAUCAAGGUGAUUUGGACUAAACAGUGCAUGGCUGCAUCUCUCUGCCUUUCUCUGUGGUUGUCCAAACAAAGUGACAACUGUUUUUGCCACUUAUUGUCUCAUAAUAUCUUAUGAAGAUUGGGUUUUGUGCUUUUCUGAUGCAUGUGGCUCUUCCACACAUGAAUGAACGAAGUUGGAUGCGGCUGUGCUUCUUCCAAAGUGGAGUGCAAUCCUCGAAGUGAACUGGUCAGUCAAGUUACAUAUUCUGAAAUAUGAUUUUUAUUGAGAAAUUCCUUCAAGCCAUCAUUAGAUUUUGUUGGUUCUUGUGUAGAUAUCUUGUUUAUUUAUCUUUUUGUAUGGUUUUGCGCUUGCAUUUGCUGGAAUCCAGAGGUUAUAUGGCAUCUUCUUGCAUGGUCAUGGUUUAAAAUUUAAUGACCAAUCAUGAUGACCAUAUCAAUGAUGCAGCAAUCAUCAUAUAAAUAAUGUGAUGGUAAUAAUGACUAUUAUUGUCUUUUUGAGUUCCUGCACUGUUUAUUAAAAUAAAUUGAUAUUUUUUGACA